rnacentral:rRNA from 1 species
AGUGAACGCUGGCGGUAGGCCUAACACAUGCAAGUCGAACGGCAGCACAGUAAGAGCUUGCUCUUACGGGUGGCGAGUGGCGGACGGGUGAGGAAUACAUCGGACUCUACUUUUUCGUGGGGGAUAACGUAGGGAAACUUACGCUCAUACCGCAUACCACCUACGGGUGAAAGCAGUGGAUCUUCGGACCUUGCGCGAUUGAAUGAGCCGAUGUCGGAUUAGCUAGUUGGCGGGGUAAAGGCCCACCAAGGCGACGAUCCGUAGCUGGUCUGAGAGGAUGAUCGGCCACACUGGAACGUGGACAGGGUCCAUACCCCUACGGGAGGCAGCAGUGGGGAAUAUUAGACAAUAGGCGGAAGCCUGAUCCAGCCAGACCGCGUGGGUGACGAAGGCGUUCGGGGUGUAAUGCCCGUUUGUUGGGAAAGAAAAGCAGCAGGUUAAGACCCCGCUGUUCUGACGGUACCCAAAGAAUAAGCACCGGCUAACUUCGUG